UCCUACAACUUUUUUAUUUGUGAUUUCAUCCCUUUUAUCUUUGGAUUUAGGUUUCUUGCUACAAGGAGUCUGGGUUCGCUUUGGCGAUCGGUUUGCUUUAUCCUGUGCUUCGAUUUAAUAUUCUGGAGAUUUAGUAUUUGCGUUUAUUGGUUGUUAUUUGGAUUCUGAAUAUUAAUGGCUGUCUCUAACUUGAUACUAUCUCGAUCACGAUCUAAUUGGAUAGGAUUUCUUAAUAUUCAUACUGCCAGCGACAUCUUACGAUACGCGUGACUUAGUUUGUCUUUUCCUUUUUCUUUUUUUUUUUUGGGCGAUCGAGAUGAUUACUGGUUGAAUUCUGGUUUAUAAAGUUUUCUGUAGAUAUUGAUUGGUAUGGAGUUAUCGGGUUGAAUGGUGAGUUCCAGUCAUUGAGAUGUGUUAGGUUUGGUGUUAUUAAAAUCUCACAUCAAACAUCUUUGUAUCCAUUUAUUGAUGUGUUAUGGCGCUGAUGCAUAUAAACAAAGUGGUUCUCUCGAUUUUGUUGAUGCUAGGUCCAUAACUAUGCCAACAGUCUGAUUAUCUUCAAGAUACAAUCUAUAUCGACAUCUAAUUGGAUUGGAUCCCUUAUUUAUACUGGCCAGCUACAUCUAACUUUUUUUUCUUCUUGUGUUCUUUUCUUUCCUUUGUUUUGGGGUGAUCAAGAUGAUUACUGUUGAGGUUUAUAAAUUUUCUGUAGAUGUUGAUUGCUAUGGAGUUAUUGGGUUGAGGAGUGAGUUCUCGUAACAGAUGUGGAUUAUUGGCUAGAUCUAGUCCUGUCCUUGAGACGUGUUCGGUUUGGUGUUAUUAUCUCAUAUCAAACAUCUUUGUUCUUAUUCAUCUGUUGAAGUGUUAUGGUGCUGAUGCAUACAAACUAAGUGGUUCUCUGGAUUUUGUUGAUGCUAGAUGUAGAUGUUGAUUGCUUUGGAGUUAUUGGGUUGAGGAGUGAGUUAUUCUAAUGGAUGUGGAUUAUUGGCUGGAUCCAGUCCUUGAGAAGUGUUCGGUUUGGUGUUAUUAAAAAAUCUCAUCACACAUCUUUGUUCUCAUCUGUCUACUAAUGUGUAAUUGUGCUGAUGCAUAUAAACUAAGUGGUUCUUGAUUUUGUUGAUGAUAGGUCCAUAGCUGUGCCAACAGUCUGACGAUCUUCAAGAUUAGAUAUUACGCCAUCUAAGUGGAUUUCCCUUAUUAAUACUGGCCAGAGACUUGUAACUUCUUUUUUCUUUUCUUUGUUUUGGGGUGAUCAAGAUGCUCACUGUUGAAUUCUGGUUUAAAAACUUUCUGUAGAUGUUGAAUGCCAUGGAGUUAUUGGAUUGAAGAGUGAGUUCUUGUAGGGGAUGAGGAUUAUUGGCUAGAUCCAGUCCUUGAAUGGUUUGGUUUGGUGUUAUGAAAAUCUCCCUUCGCACAUCUAUGUUCUCCUCCAUCUACUAAAGUGUUAUGGUGCUGAUGCGGAACUAAGACAUUCUCUGGAUUUUGUGGAUUUUCUAUGGAUCCUUAAGGCGUUGUACGCAUCUCCUUGAAACCUUAGAUCUACUAUUUUGUGCCCUUCUACUCAAAUUUUUGUGCAAAUUAUCUUCUUUGAUGUUUUUCUUUUACUUCACUGACAUUGGGGGUAGGACUCCAAUUUAAUUUUGUGGCUUUUGUCUUCAGUUUGAUCUGUUGAUAUUAUCUGAGCAAACUGGUUUUGGAAUUUUCUUUUUAGGUGCCAUUCCAGUUUUUGUAUGCAAUGGAUAACAUUGGAAGGGUGCAGCCAGGGAAGCUAUCAUUUGUUUACCUUGUUUUUGGUGUUCUUAGGUUACAGAGCUAGAAAAGCUAGAUGUGCAUAGGCCAUGAAUAGGGAAGCUGCUACUUUUAUAUUUAUUGUUUUUAGUCCUACUCUACAUUUUUGUGUUUGUUAGUUGUUCUAGAGCCUGUUAAGCAUUGCUUUGAGAAAUUUGUUUGAAAAUUUCUUUCCCCAAAUAUGGUUUUCAAUUGGCUUAUAAUAUUCUUUUUGUCCUGAUUUGGUCAGAUCCACAAGUUUUCUUUUGGACAUUAGUAUGUGGCCUUUAUUUAUUUCUACAAUAUUUGAACUCGUUGAUAUGUCGAUAUGUAUCUUUGAGGAUAAGUGCAUCUUGAAGUACAAGUUACUGUAGUUGUUUACUACUUUGAUCCAAACAUGUGGACAGGUGAAUGGGCAUCUACAUCUUGUGGACAAUCAAACCUGUAAAUUUAAUUACACUAUAUAUACUUGGUGCAAGUCUGCAACAUGGCUGUUUGCUAGUGUUAUCACAGAUCAGAAGUUUCCAAUUCAUAUUAUACUGGCCAUUCGAGUGCACCCUUGAUCCAGGCAACUCAACUUUCACCUGUUUGAUGAAUGCUGGAAGCUAUGGUUUGAUAUUCUUUCUGCCAUUUCUGUCUUUCCUAAUUUCCUAAUUAUUCUAGGUUUCUUUGUGCAACAUUGUCUUGAUGUUUGGUUGUCAGUUGUCAUGUUUUGAAGACAUUUCUCUAAUUUUUCUUUUCCCGUAGCAGUUUUUAAUUGUCUUUCCUUGCUCUUAUCCUUCUAAAUGAGUCAUCUUUUCCAAGUUCACUUGUGGCUGUCAGUAGCUUGCGCUUGAUGAAGUUUAUGUGAGGCUAUAUCUCUAACUUCUGUCUUUUAUGAAAUUAUUAUGUUGUAGUGCCUUGUGUAUGAGUCACAAAGGAUAUGCUAGUCUCCAAGAAUGUCAUCGCUCAUUAGCUUUGAUCAUCUCUCUCCAUUCCUUUCUACUGCUUGGCUAUGUUCUUAUUUUUCUACAGUGACUGGUGAAGUAAUGGAUGGAGACUUCUUGAAGGAUAAAUAUGGCCGUAGAUCUAACUACUCUGUAUUUGAGGUGAUUAAUGCAAUGCUUCGUUUUAUGUUACAUGUGCCAGAGUAAAAUGUGUGGUGGACAUUUGGAAGGAUGGGCAAGACAGAUGAGGAAGGCUAAGUUCAAUCUUUUCUUUAUUAAGUGAUUAUACAUGUGACAGUGCAGGCUGUGCAUUGUUUUCUGGUGCAUCUUGUCACAGAAAAGACGGUUAAUGUUGUCAGUGGCCAGUUUUAGAGAUUGGGGAAACGAGUAACCUUUCAACUGGUCAUUGUUGUUCGGCAAGGUUUUGUUUAUGGGAGGUUUGUCGAUCUUUUAAAGGAUAACUGAGGUUAUUGUUCAGUGUACUUGUAUCUUUAA